rnacentral:rRNA from 1 species
GCAAAGUCGUGAGGCGGAGCAAAUCACAAAACACAGUCUCAGUUCAGAUUGUAGGCUGAAACUCGCCUAUAUGAAGUCGGAAUUGCUAGUAAUCGCGGAUCAGCAUGCCGCGGUGAAUACGUUCCCGGGCCUUGUACACACCGCCCGUCACACCAUGAGAGUCGAUAACACCCGAAGCCUGUAGUCUAACCUUAGAGGGGACGCAGUCGAAGGUGGGAUUGAUAAUUAGGGUGAAGUCGUAACAAGGUAAC